GAUGAACGCUGGCGGCGUGCCUAAUACAUGCAAGUCGAGCGAAUGGAUUAAGAGCUUGCUCUUAUGAAGUUAGCGGCGGACGGGUGAGUAACACGUGGGUAACCUGCCCAUAAGACUGGGAUAACUCCGGGAAACCGGGGCUAAUACCGGAUAACAUUUUGAACCGCAUGGUUCGAAAUUGAAAGGCGGCUUCGGCUGUCACUUAUGGAUGGACCCGCGUCGCAUUAGCUAGUUGGUGAGGUAACGGCUCACCAAGGCGACGAUGCGUAGCCGACCGGAGAGGGUGAUCGGCCACACUGGGACUGAGACACGGCCCAGACUCCUCCGGGAGGCAGCAGUAGGGAAUCUUCCGCAAUGGACGAAAGUCUGACGGAGCAACGCCGCGUGAGUGAUGAAGGCUUUCGGGUCGUAAAACUCUGUUGUUAGGGAAGAACAAGUGCUAGUUGAAUAAGCUGGCACCUUGACGGUACCUAACCAGAAAGCCACGGCUAACUACGUGCCAGCCGCCGCCGUAA
rnacentral:rRNA from 1 species